UUUAUUUUGUAGCAGUUCAAGAGCUACCAGCUUUUAUCGCUUCAAAAAAAUUAAUCAGCACAGAAACUCCAAAGCUCCCAAAGAAGCAGUUUAACUUUUGUCAUAGUACCCAAGAAUUUAAAACGGCUUUCUCUCGUGGCUUUUAUCUCCUACAAAACACAAAUCAGAAUCAACGGCGCUACAGUUUUUACUUUAUCGUUUUCCAAAAACCUGUUGGAUUAAUAACUUUAUCCACGGGAUCCAGUCUGAAACUGGUUUGAAAGCAGCAACCGGAGCAGAUUUCUACCGACAUGACGAUGUUUUCUUCUUUUUAAUUUAGUGAAGCAGAAACACAGAACACGACUCGGCUACAUCCUGGCAGCCGCUGCCGGCCUGCAGCUCCCAUCCCCGAUGAAGAAGCUUCAUUAACUCUCCCGCUGCUGCUCCGUGGACAGAAACCCGACAAAACGCGAAGGACGGCGCUCCGACUGCCGCCAUUGUACCGGAGAGAAGCACGAGUCUGCGCACUGGGGCCAGAGGCUGGACCCGCCAAUCACGGAAUAGAACACCCGGAAGUCCCGCCCACACCGGGCAUCAGCGAGGCGCUAACAUGUCCGCCAUAUUGGGACUGAAUAUGCAAACGUAAAAAAUGUUUUGUAAACCCUAAUGUUAAUGUUUUCCAUAAAUUUAACAUCAAUUGUUUAUUUUUAUAAAUAAAUACAUUUGGAAAGCUUGUAGGUCAUCAUCUAA